GCUGAUGACUCUGUGCUUUUUGGUUCUUUAUUAGAUUUUAGAAACUCUGUUCCAACCAGAAAUCACUUUUGGAAGCUAAAAUAAGUCUUCAGCUCUGACGAGAGAAAGGCUCAUUCUUGGGUUUUUUUCACGACUCUGCAUCACACACCAACCUGGUUUGAUCCUCCACACCUGCCUGAAGGAAAUCAUGAACGUCUGGUGCCAGUUUUCCUGUUUGCUGCUCGUGCUGCUCUCUGCCGCUCAGUGCACUGAGGGGGCAACUCCUGAGGACUUCAAGAAAAGACACGUCAUCAAUAAAAUGAAAGAGGGAGAUUGUCAGAGAGUGAUUGAUGACAGGAAGAUAAAGAACAUGAACAAGUACAAGGAAAUCAACACCUUUAUCGUUGACAAGUAUGAAAACAUCAGAAAAGUCUGUGACUAUGGAACUUGCACAAAUAAUGGUCAAUACAAAAGUAUCACAUGUACAAGUAAUACAAUAUUUUAUAUUGUUGAUUGUAUACUCCAGAAUAAAAAGUACAGAGGUUCAGCGAAAUUCGCCAGAAUUCAAAUCUCAUGCAUCAAUGGUUUACCUGUGCACUACAUAAAGCAUCUGUGAGGUGCUUAAACAGCUUCGUUUUACUUCACCUGCUUGUGAAACAUGAUUAUCCUGAUUGUGAUGCUGAUCCUUAUUCAGGUCAGUCUUGCUUUGUGUGCACAUCUUAUGACUGAUAUUCUUUCUGGUUCCUCAAAUCGCUUAAUGCCAAUAGUCUAAUUAUCAUAAUAAUAAUGAUAAUAAUAAUAAUAAUGAAGUUUUUGGAGCAUAUUUCUGUGCGUGUUGGAAGAACAUUGUAUAAGUCUUCUUGUUUUCCUCUGUAUCGCUGUGGACAAGCAGGAAUAAACUGAGGAUGAGCA